AGGAUGAACGCUAGCGGGAGGCCUAAUACAUGCAAGUCGAACGGUAAAUAGUAGCAAUACUAUGAGAGUGGCGUACGGGUGCGUAACGCGUACACAACCUGCCUUAUACUGGGGCAUAGCCUUGGGAAACUAAGAUUAACUCCCCAUAACACUGCACUGUGGCAUCACAGAGCAGUUAAAAUUCCGGUGGUAUAAGAUGGGUGUGCGUCUGAUUAGCUUGUUGGCGAGGUAAUGGCUCACCAAGGCAAUGAUCGGUAGCCGGACUGAGAGGUUGGCCGGCCACACUGGAACUGAGACACGGUCCAGACUCCUACGGGAGGCAGCAGUGGGGAAUCUUGCGCAAUGGACGAAAGUCUGACGCAGCAACGCCGCGUGGGGGAUGAAGCUUCUCGGAGUGUAAACCCCUUUCGACCCGGACGAAUGCCCGCAAGGGUUUGACGGUACGGGUAUAAGAAGCCCCGGCUAACUACGUGCCAGCAGCCGCGGUAAAACGUAGGGGGCCAGCGUUGCUCGGAAUUACUGGGCGUAAAGGGUCCGUAGGCGGUGUGGCAAGUCGGAAGUGAAAUCUCUGGGCUUAACCCAGAGGCUGCUCCCGAAACUGCCAUGCUAGAGUGUGAGAGAGGCGAGUGGAAUUGCGGGUGUAGCGGUGAAAUGCGUAGAUAUCCGCAGGAACAUCCGAGGCGAAAGCGGCUCGCUGGAUCACAACUGACGCUGAGGGACGAAAGCUAGGGGAGCAAACAGGAUUAGAUACCCUGGUAGUCCUAGCCCUAAACCAUCAGACUUGGGGUUUGCCCUGUACGGGGCAAGUCCCGUAGCUAACGCGUUAAGUCCUGCGCCUGGGGAGUACGGUCGCAAGGCUGAA
rnacentral:rRNA from 1 species